CCCCAGUUCGGAUUGCAGGCUGCAACCCGCCUGCAUGAAGCCGGAAUCGCUAGUAAUCGCGCAUCAGCCAUGGCGCGGUGAAUACGUUCCCGGGCCUUGUACACACCGCCCGUCAAGCCAUGGGAGCCGGGGGUGCCUGAAGUUCGUUACCGCAAGGAUCGACCUAGGGCAAAACUGGUGACUGGGGCUAAGUCGUAACAAGGUAUC
rnacentral:rRNA from 1 species